UCGCUACUACCGAUUGAAUGAUUUAGUGAGUUGUAAGGACUGUUGUCUCCGGUUGGGUAACCUUCCAUUGACUUCCAGAAAAUACCGCAAACUUGACCAUUUAGAGGAAGUAAAAGUCGUAA
rnacentral:rRNA from 1 species